rnacentral:lncRNA from 1 species
CCUCAUAUAAAGUGUGAACCUAAGAUACUUAAGAGAAGCCACUAAUUUCUGGUUCAGAGUGAAAAUAAGGGCACCUACAAAACAGGGAGAGUGAGGAAUGAAGCCAUUGAAGCAACUUGGACGUCGGGAAUUCACUGAAGACCAGACUAAAGAGGGGCUUGUUCUAAUAGAAAUUCAUCUAAAAAGUUGGAGAUUCUGUAGAAGAUCUGAUGAAGAGGGCCAAUCACUGAGGAAAAAUGGAUAGCAUCCUAAAACAGUGGGUAGUAAGGGAACCGGUAUGUCUGAUCUUUUAAAGGAAAGA